CUACUGGGCUAGACUUGGAGGGUCCGACCGGGGCAACUCGUUGCUGUGGACUUGUAGGCAAGUCAAGUAGGGCUAUGGAAUGCUAGGACAAUGUUAUUAUGUUUGUGUUAUAGGCUUGGGUAGGAAUUCUUAAGCAAUACGUUGAGUGGCUUUUCCGCCGGCGGGAGGACGACAAUCCCACGCAAACAGGACGGAUGUUCCGAAUGUUGCUUACAUUCAUGUUGUCGAAGCUCGCGACGACGGCUCUGGACAGGACGGAUGUCAAGUGUGCGUUGGUGGACGUGAUGGCAACGUAGUGAAGGACACGGACGCGCAUGCACAGGCCAUGGAAUGGUAUGUCUAAAUCAUGGAUGGCGACGUUCAACUCUCAGAAUGGUGAUUUCUGCCUUUGGGUUCAAUUCUGAACCUGGAAUGCUGCUGGCUCUGCCCGUACCGGAAAAGUGCUUUCCGGUACGGCGGUGUCAGGAGGUGGUAUCUACGUCGUCUUAGGGGCAACCCUAAGACUAAGGGGAUGAACGAAUAGAGAUAUACUUAGGGUUUCUUGGCUGCAGCAAGUGUUGUCCUGGGCGCGACGUUGAUGGCCUGAUGCCGACGCGACCUCCUUUACGACAAUGCUAGGCAAACGCAGCGGAUGUUCAUGAAUUACUUAAGCGUUCAUAUUACUCGUCACAGCUUCAACGGCACUGUACUGGGCGGAUGUAAGAUGUGCGUUGGUGGACGCGAUGGCCUUACGAAGGGGGAGAAAGACGCUUAGGAGAUGCUUGGAUUGUUAUGUACAAGUCACAGACGGGGACGUUUAACUCUAUGAAUGCUGAGUUUUAGCUACUAGUCGGGUUUUUUGAACUUCGCUGUUGUUGGUUCCGCCCGUACAGGAAAAGUGUCUUCUGAUACGGCGGUCACAGCAGGUAGUAUCCGCGUCGACUUGUAUGCAAACCAAAUACAACGAAACCAGGGGAUGAUAUGACAGUUUUGGAAUGCUUGUUUCUUGGCCGCAAGCAGCAGCAUACUUAAAUCGCGUUGGGCCAUUUGCCCAGGCUGCCGNNN
rnacentral:lncRNA from 1 species